rnacentral:tRNA from 1 species
GCGGUAUUGGUGAAGUGGUUAACACACUGGCUUGUGGAUCCAGCAUUCGUGGGUUCGAUUCCCACAUACCGCCC